GAAAGGGAAGAAGAGAAAAAGAAGAGAGAAGAAGAAGAGAAAAGAAGAAAGAAAAGAAGAGAAAAAGAAGAAAGAAAAGAGAGAAGAAGAAAAAGAGAGAAAAUUCAGUGAGCCUCACAUAUUGUAAACUCUAAAGUUGUAGCCCUAUUAUUUUAUAUAGUGAAAACGUUACUGCUGCUGCUCUCCGAGGACGUAGGCAUAGCCGAACCUCGUUAAAUGCUGUGUCUCAUCUACUUUACGUGCAGCUCAAUAUUCAUACAUAUUCCAGGUUAUUUUUAUAACACGUUAUCAGCACGAGAAGCUCUCAGGUAUAAUUUUUGUGCUGCACUAUUAUCUAUACUACUAACCACUAACAAAAAUGGACCCUUGGUAAUACUAAACAUAUUAUCAGUGGGAGACCGUUGCUAAUACUAACAUUUUUCUUAUUUUAUUCGGUGGUGGUUUUAACCCCACAUUUAUUUACUGUAUGGUGUAGGUUUAUUACCCAUACAUGCACCUUUACUUUAUCGCAAAUUUAUUUUACCGCAUAUUUAUUUUAUUUACUGUAUGAUGUAGGUUUAUUACCCAUACAACAGUAUUUAUUUAAAAGGGUGGUGCGGGUUUAUCGUCCACGCCUUUGCUUUUAUUUAAAUGUAUGGAGCAGAAUUAGUGCCCAUACAAGCACAAUUUACUUUACCGCACAUUUAAUUUUAUUUAAAGUAUGGUGCGGGAUUAACGUCCAUACAGCAAGCAAUUUAAUUUAUGCAUUUACUUUACCGCACAUUUAAUUUUAUUUAAAGUAUGGUGCGGGAUUAACGUCCAUACAGCAAGCAAUUUAAUUUAUGAAUUUAAUUUACCGCACAUUUACAUUUAUUUAAAAGGGUGGUGCGGGUUUAUCGUCUACGCCUUUACUUUUAUUUAAAUGUAUGGAGCAGAAUUAAUGCCCAUACAAGCACCUUAACUUUAUGAAUUUAAUUUACCGCACAUUUACAUUUAUUUAAAGUGUGGUGCGGGUUUAUCGUCCAUACCAGUAAUUUAUUUACCAGCAAUUUAUUUUAUGGAUUAAAUGUGCUGUAUGAUGAGUUUUUACAGUAUGCAGAUCAGGACCAGAAGUUCCUUGAUCCUCAUCAUACAAUUACAUCAGAACUUGAAGAUCCUUGAUGAUGAUGUUAAUAUGAGAGCUGGCAGUCUCUCCGGUACUGUAUUUGUAAACAUGUGAUCGGACUUAAGGGUCCUUGAUCCCUGACAUGUAAAUAAGGACCUAGAGUUCCUUAAUGAUGUAACAGUACCGUAUUGGUUCAUGGUGCCGUACACAUUGAUGAUAACUGUACUGGCAGAUGAAUAGAUACGUAUUCAUGACUUGAUGAAUAGUACUAUUUACAUGAAUAUUGACGUAUGCAUAAAUAUUAACCAUUUUGGGUAAACCGUCACUAUAUACAAAAGGGAACCUGCAGUUCCUUAAACUCAUGGAUGAGCAAUUAAAUGAGAUGCCAGAAGUUCCUCAAAAUAUGGACAAUUAUGUAAGGGCUUGAAGUCCCGAAAUAUGUACAGAAAAUUGUAAAAAUGUCCAUACCAUGAAAAUAUGUGGCUUUGGCCUGAAGUUCAAAAUUUAACAGUGUUGAGAACCUGAAGUUCCAACAAUUAAAUGGACAACCCUUGAGGUAUUAUUGCAAAUUGUGGUAUGCCACAUAUUUCUUUGGCAUAAGAAGAUGAUGAAUUUAAAGUUCGAUUUUGUUAUAAUCGACACCUCAAGGAAGAAAUAUAUUUUGUGAAUUCCGGUUGUUAAGAAUACACCGCGAAAUGGAUAAUAUCAAUAUAAACCUCAAAUAAUGAAUUGAGGCUCCCCACAUAUUUUGUUAUAUCUGGGCCGGAAGCCCAUGGAUCCAAAUAUAUGAGAGAUCCUAAACUUGAAGUUGUGGGUAUAUAGUAGUUAAUGCUCUUCACUACUAUAUUGCGAUAUUAUCAUGGCUUUUACUCAAUUCACAUUUCAUGUCCAUUUGAAAAGGGCAAAUAAAUUCUGAGUUUGUGCCCAGGCCAAAAGUUCCGGGCUACCAUGUGAUAAAAUAUGAAAUUUGGGAGAGACAAUGUGGUUAUUUGAACCUAUAAGGCACAAGGUUCCAAACCGUCAUUUUGAAAAAACGUAAAAACCACAGGUGCAAGUUUAAGAAUGUGCGCAAUUAUUAUUACAGGAACAUACAACAGAUAGAUUUUUUCCACCUGCAAUGAAGGUGCAGGCCCUGUAAAAUCUAUAAAAUUACAUUAUGUUCUGGAAGCCUCUGAAGGAAGAGGACGACGCCUCUUAAGUUUAGCCAUGAGCUUCUCAUGGUCUCCCAAAAUUCUGUCAUUGGAGAUCUGCAACAUGUCUAGCCUUCUCAGUGUAUCAACGGAGUACGAACUCACCAGUUUCAACAAGGAAUUAUUCUCUCCUUUAAGUUUCUCAACCUCCUGUUGAGAUUCAUGAAGCAUUCUUUGGAGAGACGAAUUUUCAGUUGUUAAAUUCUGAACCUCGUUUGCUCUAGCACGCAAACGAUCAGCCAUGUUAGAAACAGAAGCAGCACUCUGAAUGCUAAAAGUCAUUGAGUCAUCAAUAGCCUCUUCCUCUGAUCUCCCUGUCAACAACAUUUCAUCCAUUGGAGUAAUGAAAUUCCUAGCUACUAUGACAGCAGUAGCAUCAUUCAUCAUCACAGAAUCAUUAACUGUGAGAUGACGAUUUUUGGAUACAAAGGAUGGACGCCAAACUUGGGAGUCACAAGUUGUUGUGGGAGCAUCAUUUAAAUUGAAAUAAUUUGGGCAGGAAGAAGAGGAAGCCAUUUUUUUUUUUUAAAGAAGGUUUCGAAGAAAGUCUUAGAAAAACUAAAGGCUCGGAAAAUGAAGGAAGUUGAGUUGAAACGCAGUUUGCAAAGGCAAUAUCUAUAGACGAAAAUGUGGCAACUUUUCAGGACCCCAAUAUCUUCUCGAAUCCCCAUAUUAUCUUUUUCUUUCCCAGAGUCCAAAACUUCACGUGGCCUCUAAUAAUGUCUGUCGGCACUUUCGGCGUUUUUCAAAGUAUUAUUUUCAAAGCCGAUCUUGCUUUACGGAUUUCACGGAACUACUUUUUCAAAAGUAUCCCGAGAAUCUCGCAAUUUUCCUAUGGUUAAUUUGAAAUUCACCGGUUCUACCUAUUCAUUUUAUUUGUGUAUAAAUGUGUUACUAACGAAAUUUUCUUUGCAAAAGACAUCCAGUUUUCUCCAUACCUAGUGAUGCGAUAUCUACUUGUUUUUCUUAUCAGUGAGCACUUAAUAUGCCUGAGAAGCAAGACUAUCUCUGAUCAUACAUUCAGGAAGCAAGACUAUCCCUGAUCAUGUUUCCGCUACAUUAGGGAAUUGUGAAGGUGACCUUAUGCUCUAAUCUCCUGAGGUCUUUCUAGACUAGGAGAAAUGAGAGCUUGUUGUUUGCUCCCACCAGCUUCCUUCCUUGAUUGCUUACCUUACCUUGCAAUCAAUAUCACAAUCUUUUUGCAUUUUUUCUCUUUUUAUAACUCUCUGUUCAUAAGAGAUUUUAUUUCUUUAGAAUGAACAUAUGAAGAAUGAAUCCAUGCAGUGAUCCUAACUCUGAGAGUUAUUUGUUUUUGACAGAGAAGAGAAUUGUGAUUUUUGCUCUUGCAGGAUAUAACUAGACCAUCAAGCGCUACAUUAUAUUUACUGGGCUGAUAUGAGCUUGAAUGAUACUUGAGAAAAGUUUCUUCCACCUAAGGAUGUAAGCAAUACUUGUGUUAUUUUAUGCUUAUAUACCUAUUUGAUAUUUUAUCUUGAAAGGUAACCAAAUGGGGAGAUAAGUCCGUUCCAAAAGAAUGACUUGUAUGUAUCCAUGAAUUAUUAACGCAAAUUUUACAGAUUGCAAGUUGGAUACAUUGAUAAUACACUGCACAGAUUAAAGUCCCAUAAGAACAGAAUAUGUGUAUAGCAGUGAUCAAUAUGAUGCACGCCUAUUGCGUAGCAAAUGAUAUGGAUUGAAGUCCCGAAAGGACAAUCCUUUGACAUGUCAAUAUUGAUAUUAUGCACGCCUAAUGCGUAGCAAAUUAUAUGGGUUAAAGUCCCAUAAUAUGGGUUAAGGUCCCAGAAAUUAAUUGACAUGUAUGUAUUAAUCUGUGGCAUGCCUGCAGCAUGACAGAUAUAUGGGUUUUAAAUGUUCCAACUCCCUAAAUGGAGAUUUUCCACGCCCUAUGUAAAAUAACGCUCCAAUGGAGGUUAUAAUCCACAUUCUCACAUAAUAAAAGCCCCAUGAAGUGGCUUGGGUACCCAAAAGCAAAGGAAUGCUUAUAAUUGAUGCAUGCGCAUGCACAUGAGAAUUGUGAGAUCAUAAAUUGAUGAAUGACAAUUUUUGGUUUUGGAGUAGCUACUCAAAUCAUCAAUGGGCUGUGUUGAUUGGAACCACGUUCAAUUAUUAAAUGUCGACAAUAUCAUUGGCCAAAAUGGAACGAGGUAAUUCCAUUAUAAAUGAGAAUGAACGUGAAAGAACAAACCCACAAUACGAACCCCAAAAUUUGUUAAUACUGAAAGUUAUACUUGGGUGUUCGGAAUAAAAGGAAAUAUACCUAUUUUAUAUGACACACUGUUUCUGGCAGAAACAAGGAAUGUUGGGUUUUCUCCAUAUUUACAGAUUCAAUUGUGCCCCCCCCUUUAUUACACAAUUACGGAGACCAACAUAUUAUCUUUAAGGGUUAUUAAAUGCACGGAGCAUAUCGCCAGAAGCGAUUUCCUAAAGAUGUAUAAAUAGCUGGGUAAAAGCUAUAUAAUGUGUCAUAAAGCUUAAUCCCUUUUAGACAAAAUCCGUUGAGAGGAUUAAUAUUGCAUAAAGCAAGUCCCUAAAGGACAUGUGCUUGAAGCACAAAAUUUGUACUCAAUAUUAAUAUGCAUAAAUUACCUCAGUGAGUACAUUGAUUAUAAUGUGAUUGCAACACAUUAAAGCUUCUGCAGAAUUCAUGAAAUAUUUGUCUCGAUCGAGCAUUAUGCCAACGAGAUUCUUGCUUAUACUAAGAAAGUAUUAAAGUAUUUUUAUGAGGAUUAUCCGUUGGACACUUUAAUGAUUUUCCGGAAGUAUAUUGGACCGGACAUCAUAUUUUUCAGAUAGGGCUCAACUCCAUCACCAUCAUUUUAGGAUGAUGUGAGGUAUAUUUGAUGCUAUCUAAGCAUAACACCAUAUACGGGCAUAUUUUUUAGUGAACUUAUAAAUAGCCCAAGUGUUCUAAGAUAUGCGGACUCAGGAAAUCUCUAUGGUCGCUUACUGGAAAAAGCUAGUCAUGAAGUUUUCAGGGGGAGAUAUUCAUCAGGGGGAGCAUGGUAUUAAUAAAGACCUUCAUACACUAUUGACUCACAGCAACAGUGUCAACUAUGAUAUUCAGACAGAUGAUCAACAGUAUGGCUUAAAGAUAUUUUGCCAAGCAUCAGGGGGAGUGUGCUGUCAAUACAGACCCUUACACACUGUACUCUUUUUCCUUCGUCCAGGUUUUUAUCCCACUGGGUUUUUCCUGGCAAGGUUUUAACGAGGCAGUGUCGCACGCAUCAAUAUACACAGAAUUUUAUGUUACACGUGAUUAUGUACUCUUUUUCCCUUCGACCAGUUUUUGUCCCACUGGGUUUUUACUGGCAAGGUUUUUAACGAGGCAUAUUCCAUAUCAUUUGUGGUCUCCAAGGGGGAGUGUUGUAAAAGUUUGAAGGUGGAGCCCACAGAGGAAGUUUCCUUGCAUCUUCCAGGAACUUUCCCUUCCCUGUAUUUAUCAAUUCAAGGAACCUUCCCUUCCCUGUAUUUUGCCUAAACAUUAGCCUAUAAAUAGGCAUACCAAUUGUAAAGAGGAGUGUGACCAACAAAGAAAAAAAAGAAAGGGAAGAAGAGAAAAAGAAGAGAGAAGAAGAAGAGAAAAAAAGAAAGAAAAGAAGAGAAAAAGAAGAAAGAAAAGAGAGAAGAAGAAAGAUAGAGAAAAUUCAGUGAGCCUCACAUAUUGUAAACUCUAAAGUUGUAGCCCUAUUAUUUUAUAUAGUGAAAAAGUUACUGCUGCUGCUCUCCGAGGACGUAGGCAUAGCCGAACCUCGUUAAAUGCUGUGUCUCAUCUACUUUACGUGCAGCUCAAUAUUCAUACAUAUUCCAGGUUAUUUUUAUAACACUUGAAAUGAAAACUGCAAGAUCUAGAAUUGUGCGACAAUGUUAUUGAGGAUUCUUUAGUAAACGACAAGGCCCAGAAUGUCGUAGGAAGCUCUCAUUGGACCGCCGUCGCAGUAAACUCGGUGGAGAGCGUUCCUCCCUAGUCCCCACUUUCGCUGAUUGAGUCACUCUUUCUAGAAACAGUCAACUCAAAACCGCGGGAAGGUUUUAAUUUUACCGUUAGACGGUCACAGACGCUAAGUACGAGUACGACAACGAAACGCUAAUUAUUCCACAAUUUAUUAAUUUAUUUACAAAAAUAUCUGCCUAAUCAUUCCC
rnacentral:lncRNA from 1 species